GGUGUACUCAGGAGCCAGGAUGAAAACCAGCAGCGUGGACCCAAGUGUGGCCAGAGGGGAGGAGAUGAUUACAGAAUUUCCGUUCUGCCAGGAUAUAAGGGAGAUCCAGUCUUUGAAGCCAGCAGGAAGAAACUUGAAGCCACAUGUCUACAGCAGUGUCCUGGCAGACAGGAAUAAAUGGACACACUUUCCAAGGUCACGAGAAAGAAAUGCAAUUAGUAUGUAAAACAGCGGCUCUCCUGGAAAUGACUGCUCGGGGGCUGAGCUCAGAUGAGAAGAUUUACAACAGAGAAAAGCUGUGUGAAGCCAGUGGAUGUGGAUGUGCAAAAAAAAAAAAAAUCACUAAGGGCCCUAGAGGGCGACUGAGAAUUAGAAACAGGAUUUGAGCUACAGGUGAUGUUCUGUCUUUGAAGGUGGAGUCUUUAAGCUUAGCGUCUCGUACACGCUUUCUGCUCUCCUAAAUGCUACCCAAUAUGUGUUUACAAUUGAACUUUGAAACUAACAUUCUAUGUUUUUGGAUAAAACGUAGAAGUCAUUAUGAAACUAAUAAUAGCAUCAAAGGUGCUGUUCAUUCAGACAGUGUCCCAGAGUUGGGGACAUAAA
ensembl:antisense Tmem132cos transmembrane protein 132C, opposite strand